AGCUCUGCAUGCCCAGUCCCAUAGGAGCCAACCCCCGCACAGAAGCUCAGCCCACCAGGCUCCGCAAGCUGGCCUUUCACACAGGAAGGGGAAGAGAACAUCAUGAAGAAACCUCAGACUGCCCUCUGUGAAUGAGCAUAUGUGUGUUGGUGAGUUUGUCUGUACUGUGCUUGUGUGUGUCAGUGAGCUUGCCUGGAGUUAGCUUGUGUAUGGGUCAAAGAGCUAAUGUGUAUGUCAGUGAGCUUGUCUGUAGUGUACUUGUAUGUGUCAGUGAGUGAUGAGUAAUGAAAUAUAGGACUGGAGUUUUUGUUUUUUUACAAGGCUGUUUUCUGUUCCCAGUCUGGCCCAGGGGUAGGUGAUAAUUUGAUAAGAAAAUUGGGCAGAUAGGAAUCUAAUAUGUUUAAAAUUUAUGUUCGACCUCAGCUUUUAUAAGUAACUCUAAGGCAGUG